AACUUGACUGAAAAGUUGUCACAAAAAGAACCAUAUAUGUCUAAAGCAGGUAAUCAGAUUGUUUGCAAUAUUCUUUUUUUUUAUUAUUAUUCUAUUUUUAUAUAUAUUUUUUUAGAUUAAACAUCAUAACCUUAUUAUUUGCCUUAAACAGCACGGGUGGACAUGCUUACAUUGCAUGCAAUGGGGUGGAACCACAAAAAACAUCUCUCUCUACAUCAGUCACUUUCAACAAGAUAUGUGAAGGUAAGUCUCCUAUUAAUUGUUUUGUGUAUCCUUUUGUUGUGUGCACUAGGCCUGUUUUUAAUCAUACUAAGUCCUGAUUAUUGUAUAACACUGUUCAUCAGACUUGUCAGAGACUCCCGGAUGAAACGGCAAGGCUAGCUGAACUAAAAGCAGAGUUAAUUGCACAGAUGAAGUGGUGUCACAGUGGCUUUCUGAUGUGAAGGAAUGGGCAGCUGGCGGUAAGCAUGACCAGAUGAAAGAAACAGCAAAUAUUAUUUUCCACUACUGUCUGAAAUUUAAGUUUGAUAUUAAAGAGCAGCUUAAGAUAAUAGCCUGAUCAUCUAUGUCAGGGGUGGUGAACAUCGGUCCUGGAGAGCCUGCUUCAACCCUAAUUAAACACACCUGAACAAGCUAAUCAAGGUCUGACCAGUUACUAGAAAGAUACAGGCAGGUGAGUUUUAAUUAGGUUUGGAGCUGAACUUUGCAGGGCUGCAGCUCGCCACCCCUGAUCUAUGUGUUACAGCAAACUACAAGUCAUCAUCAGAUGUUGUGGCACAUUUAUGUUUGGUAUUUCAGUUUCCCUGCAGGAAGUGCACAUACCAAGUUCAAUGACGUAUUAAUGAAGGAUUAAAAGGGGUUUUAUAUACAAAUACAAAUUCAAACACUGAAAUGGUUAUGUGUUGUUUUAACAGUGAAUUUGUUUUCACUAUUACUUUUACAGAGACACCAGAUACAUCUCAUGCCAGUCAAGGCACCACACACAGAGGACUUCAGCAGUCAAUUGAGGGGCUUUACCUUAGUGUGAGGCAGCGGAAGCAAACCCUUUAUCGUCAGAAUGAAGACUGUCAGAGGUGUCAGAAAGGUUGCAGGUGGUUCUCCAACAGUACAAGACUGCUUUAGGCCCUGAGGCCUCUGCCCUACAUCUUGAAGCAGAAGAUCAAAGAGACUUCAGUAGUCCAGACACCAGUGAGAAUGAAGAAGAAAACACAAUUUAGGUAAUUAAUUUAUUCAUAUGUAUGUUUGUUUGUUUUCAAAAAUAGACCAGGGGUGUUCCAUCAAGGUGGAUAAAGGAAAAGCCUGGCUUAGGAACAUUGCAGGGAAAAGUUGCAGCAACGUCAACUGGCCCGUCUCAGCUCAACUCAAAGCGGGCUGAUGCCGUCACUGCAACUCAGCUUGUCUAUUUGGCAGAUGCUGAUUUUAGAAUAUAAGGCAUGGCACCUGUUUCAACAGCCAGUCAGCUUGUAGCAAAGUCAGCUGGUCAAGUUUCUAAACUUUCGCCUGGUUGAAGUUUUGGAUGGAGGAAAGACAGGAUCAAUUCAUAGAUUUGUUUGAGGAACCACUGUGUCUGCAUGACACAAGCCUUAAAAUUUACUCAGCUCUUCAGGGCUGCUUAUGUACUCCAUGCAC
ensembl:lncRNA